rnacentral:rRNA from 1 species
GACGAACGCUGGCGGCGUGCUUAACACACGCAAGUCGAACGGAAAGGCCCUGCUUUUGUGGGGUGCUCGAGUGGCGUACGGGUGAGUAACACGUGAGUAACCUGCCCUUGACUUUGGGAUAACUUCAGGAAACUGGGGCUAAUACCGGAUAGGAGCUCCUGCUGCAUGGUGGGGGUUGGAAAGUUUCGGCGGUUGGGGAUGGACUCGCGGCUUAUCAGCUUGUUGGUGGGGUAGUGGCUUACCAAGGCUUUGACGGGUAGCCGGCCUGAGAGGGUGACCGGCCACAUUGGGACUGAGAUACGGCCCAGACUCCUACGGGAGGCAGCAGUGGGGAAUAUUGCACAAUGGGCGGAAGCCUGAUGCAGCAACGCCGCGUGCGGGAUGACGGCCUUCGGGUUGUAAACCGCUUUCGCCUGUGACGAAGCGUGAGUGACGGUAAUGGGUAAAGAAGCACCGGCUAACUACGUG